rnacentral:lncRNA from 1 species
UCAGAUUCCUCUGGAAAAGGAGCUUGCGGCGGCGGAGGUUGCGGGCCAGCGGAAGCGGCGCAUCGCCCAAGCGAUAGAGGGGAAACGUGAAGCCGGAGGAGAGGCGAAGUUCUGCGCGUCUUGUGGCAGGACAGAGGAAGCCGCCGGCAACUCUGCCACAGCGAAGGAGCUGCCAAGCUGUCAAAUACGGUCGGAGACGCCGAGCUCGCCGAGGAGGAGGAGGAGGAGGAGGAGAGAGAAGUGGCGGCGCAGGACGCAGCCAUCCGCAUGGCUCUGUGGUUCCGCAGCCGCCUCCAUCUUCGUCGCCUCCUCUCGCUUAACUCCGGGUGAGAUGCGGUGAGCUUACCCGCCCACGUCACGGGCCUCUCCUCCUCCCAGGGAGCGGCACGUGUCUCUACCGACCGCAUUUCUCACGGACCGCUCAUUUCCUACGGUCCUUUGGUUUGCCGGAAUACUGAUUUCAGUAAUUCUCACAUAGUGUCCCUCUAUGCUUAAUUAUUUGUGUUUUUUACCUAUUUACUCACUAUUUACUGUAAUAAUAAAAUUUUAAUGGGUUUAUUUAAAAUAUUUUUAUUCUGAAUAGAGUUUUAUGGAUAUUCUGCGCUGCAUGCAUCUAUAAAAAUAUCCUUAUAUUUUAAUAUGUAAGACUAUAUUUACACCCAUCUAAACUAGUCAAUUGUGGUUAAUAUAUAAUUUAACUUGAAAUAUCCAUAUCUCUUUCCACCCUCUUUCACAAGUAUGCCAGCCAUUUUUCUAUAUAAUAAUUCAUAGACGUAGAGCUGUUGUUUAUGGGAAGAGAGAGAGAGAGAGAGAGAGAGAGAGAGAGAGAGAGGUAAAAAGGAAGCAUAGCCAAUGAAGGAAUAAAAGUGAUUUUCAGGUCAUGAUAAUAAAAGAAAAAAUAAGAUAAAUGACUGGAUCUGUAUAAAGGGAACAAUUUUCAGAAUAAAGCCGAGAUUCCACGUCCGAUCCAGAUUAAGGAAUUCCCAAUUUCCGGGAACACGUUGAACCGAAGAUCUUGUGCCGUCAGCUGUGUCCCCGUUGACGGCGAGCGAAGAGGGAUUACAAGCUAUUGGGGAUCCCCGUCGUCUCCGAGUUCCCAUCUUCUCCGUUUGGAUCAUUUAUUCGUGAUCGAAACCCGGAAAGGGUUUUCCGUCAUCCUCAACGUUGGGCCGCAAAUCCAUCUCCUUUCCAGAGCAAUGGCCUGUACCGUCCGGCGGCGCCGCCGGUUCUCGUCCACGGGAACCGGGGCUUGGCCAGCGUCCGCCGCUUCGCCGCCACCCCCACGAUGUCUCCUGCGUUCUGCGAGGAAGAGACCAGACGAAGAUCAUAGGCAUGAGAAACUGCAAGAACUUGGAGGCUUCACCGGCGCGGGAGAGAGAGAGAUGAUCGAAACCUGGAGACAGAGCCCAUCUGGUACGUCGCAGAUCGGGUAGUCCUGAGGACAGCAGUAGCUAGUUCCGGUGCAGCAGACGGCGUUCUGGUAAGAGCAGCAGCCGUAGAUGAGGCAGUAGCUGCCGAGAUCAAGGAUGCAGCAGCAGGUCUCAUCCGCUGGGCAGUAAGAGUAGUCCCCGCACUGGGACGGCGAAGGGCUCGCCGGAGGAGGCGGCGGAGGAGGAGGCGGCGGCUCCACCGCCGGCGACGGUGGGGAGGCGGAGCCCGAAUGCUUGGUGGGGUAGGAGGCCAUGGCGUCGAUGGCGCAGACACCGUAGGGCAGCCCGGUGUUCCUCUU